AUAUAUACACGAUUGUGUCUGAUAAAGAAGUCAGAGUUAUUGCCUGUUUUUUUGUGCUUGGGGAUUUCCCUAAUCAUCAAACAUUGACGUUUUAUUAAAAUUAUAUAUUAAUAUUGGUUUCAUUUUUUUUAAAGUUCAUAUGUGUGGCUUUUAAUUCUUGAAACCCGGAGCUCGGGCUAUAAGUUAAAGAAGGACGGACGAAUACUAAUUAUAGUUUAUAGAAAAAACAUUACUAAAAUAUUAACAUUGGAGGAUUUGAUCAUAAUGUGAAUGAUUUAAUUGCAUAUUCCUCAUAUACAAGUUGGCUUGAAUGUGUCUCUUGUUCUUUGUAUCACAGAAAAUACACAUCAGAAUGGCUUUGGCAUCGGAUGUAUGUGGGUUUUGCUUUAAAGAACCCGUAUUUGGAUUCUGUGAAAACUGUAAUAUUUCGCUUGGUGUAAGUUGCUUCUCAAAUCAUACUAAGAUACAUUUAUUUACUAGUCAUAUUGUGUUUCCGUUGGAUAACUCAGAGAACGAGACAUGCUUAUCGGUACCCAUAGAAAAAGACAUACAUGAACAAAAAUGCCAACAGCACGAAACAGACCCUCAGUCGUUUUAUUGUGGAAGGCAUGACGCAACCAUAUGUGGUCGAUGUAUACUGGCUGACCACAUGACUUGUAAAGAUGAAAUCGUUGAUCUACAUAUAACAAAGUUUGAUGAACAAAAGGCGAAUGCACUUCUGGGCUCUUUGAAUGAAAUCGAAGGCGAAAUAAAAGACCUUCAGGUCCGUGUAGACAGAAAUGUUAAACAAAAUGACGAGUGUAGAGCCUCAUCUAUUGACGCAAUUAAAGAUUUUCGAAAGAAGAUUGAUUUAAGGCUUAACCAGUUACAUUUCGAAGCAGAACAAUCCACAGAGAGGAAACACAAAGAAAAUAUGAACAGUCUGGUUGAACUUGCAAAAAUCUGCAAAGACGUUUCUCUUCGAAUUCAAAUGCGUGGAGAAAAAAUCGAGGAGUUAUCGAAGAAAAAACAAGAACGGCAUUUGUUUGUAUAUUCAAAAAAACUGGCCAUUGAAAUUGAUGAAAUAAGAACAGCUAUUAAGCAGUCAAACUUCAAAAACCAUAUUACAAAAUUCACAUUUAAAGAACACCCAACAUUGGAAAAUAUUCUUCAGAAAACAAUUCUUGAAAUUGGAACACUUCAAGAGGCUUGUGAUGGAAGCGAAGAAUUAGUUGACGAUACACAUGCUUCAUUAACGGGGACUCCUGAACAUGCAGAUGAAAGCUGUGCGCGGAAAAUAACACAACCGAAGAAUUUUACGUCCGGUAAUCAACCUCCUGGAAAGAUGACGGUUGAAUCAUACCCCGAGAUUGUUCAUAUUAAGUACAAGUUUUUAACUGGACAACAAUCGGGGACUCCUGAACAUGCAGAUGAAAGCUGUGCGCGGAAAAUAACACAACCGAAGAAUUUUACGUCCGGUAAUCAACCUCCUGGAAAGAUGACGGUUGAAUCAUACCCCGAGAUUGUUCAUAUUAAGUACAAGUUUUUAACUGGACAACAAUCGGGGACUCCUGAACAUGCAGAUGAAAGCUGUGCGCGGAAAAUAACACAACCGAAGAAUUUUACGUCCGGUAAUCAACCUCCUGGAAAGAUGACGGUUGAAUCAUACCCCGAGAUUGUUCAUAUUAAGUACAAGUUUUUAACUGGACAACAAUCGGAUGGCAAAAUGUAUAAGGCUUUAACUGAGAACGUGCAUCUCCCUUACUCGGUCAACGGAAUAAACGUUUGCAGAAUGCUUAAACUAGCCUUUCAAAGGAAAUUGAUGUUUACCAUUAACAGUGAUGGCGCCAUUGUAUAUAACGGCAUAAAGCUUCGGAGCACAGACUACGAAAUGACAGAGUAUUAUUAACUGUAUUGUGCAUGCAGCGAUAUAAGUAUGUGUAGCACAGGUACAUAUAACGAGAACAAAUAUGAAGAAUCGAUUGUACCAGACUAACCACACAGUUGAAAGCUAAGGGCAUCACGAUGGCUGACAUUGACACCAACGAUGAAUUCUGGGGAACAGUGACGGUGGACUAAUUAGAUAUAACAACGUGUUAAAUUUGUUGAAAAAGCCUGAACAAUAUUUCAAAAAGCAACCACAUAUAUACUUUUAUCAGAUAAAAGAACAAUUAAACAAUGGGUAAAUAUUGAACUUAACCUUUCUAGGGAACAUACAAAGUAAUCAUUUAAAAGAAAGUGGGAAACCUUCGCUGAAAUUGACUUGUAAUGACUUAUUAUAGAGAAGUAUGAGAUGAGACUAAGCAUGAAUGCUUGUCGUAGCUUUGGAUGAGUUUUUGUUGAGUGUAUGGGCUUGAGCGCGUGCUUUAGUACGUCGAAGAUUGUCCGUAAUUCAAUUUCGCCAUUAACCAUGCGAUUUUUAAACAACUUCAAGUGUUAUCAUGAGAUGUUUUAUCGCGUGUAAAACUCUACCUGAAUAAUAAUGGUCACUCUUACAGGUCGAAGGUUAAUUUUGUACCAAAGUCAAUGACAAUUUGGCAUGUGCUGUGUCUUGCGCGUAUCAUUUAUUAACUUUCCUCCAAAGUCAAUGUCACUCAGAGAGUUUACAUGUUGAAUUCGGGCAUAGUUUAGCUUUUCCAGACUGAAAAUUCGUCAUUCAAUAUAUAAGCUCACAUCACAAUGUAGUGUUAAGGGGAUCUGUUGGGAUAUGAAUAUGUGUGACAAAGGUCCAAAGUCGUGCCUAUCUUAAGAAUCGUCCACAGAAUCGUCUUUUAAGCUUGAAAGUUUGAGCGCCAUCGAUAGAGAAGUAAACGAAAAGUUGAAAGCACAAGCUUCGGGACGCCGAAAUAGAUAAAUGACCAUACUCCUCCAAAACUCCUCACAUCCAACAUUUCUUUCUUUACGAGCAUCUACACGUAAUGGUUAUUCAACGAUGAACAUUUUAGAUAUUUCCACCAGGCAGUUAAAGGGCAGUUGAAACCCGUGCUUCAGGACGCAAAGACGUAUGAACGGUCGAACGUACGGAAAUACGUGCGAACGGACGGACAAGUGCAAAACCAAUGCCUCGCGCACAGUGGGACAGAAAUAAAUAACUCAAAAACAUCAAUUGUGCAAUAGUGCUUUAAAUAUGACCGUGUUUCAUAAACAUACAUUCACGCUUUUAGUUAUGCCCCUGGAUCGAAUGAUCGGGGGUAUAUUAUUUUUGGCCUGUAUGUCUGUCAGUCUGUCUGUCUGUCAUUUAUUCUGUCCCAAAACUUUUUCUUUUGUCAAAUCUUUUGCAAAAUUGAAGAUAGAAACUUUGGCAUGCAUGUGUAUCUCAUGAAGCUGAAAAUUUUGAGUAGUAAAAGGUAAAGGUCAAGGUCAUCAUUCAAGGUCAAAGGUCAACCUUUAAGGUCAAAGGUCAAAUAUUUGGAUUCAAGUAUGGGUGAUUGUGUUUCACAAAUACAGCUCUUAUUUUAUUUUAAAACAAUAAAUAAACAUGUUAAAAAAAUGACAAAUAUGUUAAAGAAAAAGAGAAAAUGACAUACAGGCACACACAAGAUGACACCAAGACUGAACAAAUUUUAACCAUAGAACAGAACAUAUGUGACCAUGACUAUAUGGGUCGUAAAAUGCCGUCCAAGAUUAGUCUGUGAGUCCGCACAGGCUAAUCAGGCACGACGUUUUCCGCUUUUAUGAUAUUUUUCGUAAGGAGAGAGUAUAUUCGUAGCAAACAAAUCCAGUUUAGACUGAAAGUGUCGUCCCUGAUAAGCUUGUGCGGACUGCACAGGCUAAUAUAUGAUGACACUUAACGCGCAUGCAUUAAACCCCCUAUUCACAGAGCACGGUCCAUAUGAAGUAACAAAAACCUGUACAAAAGGUGGUUUAUGUAUUAUUAUUGCAUAAACUCUAUCUAUAAUGCCCUCUGGCGAGGUGCAGAAACUUGGCAAAAGGAGGGCAUGAACGGGAGAAAUCGUGUAUUAACAAUGCGAUUCACGUGCCGUUCAAGCCCUGUAAUGUGUUUUUCAUAUCCAUAAUCUGGUCCACGCGCAGUUACUUCCCUUCUCCAGCCUUCGGCGACUUUCCAAACAUGAAUGGGGAACUGAAUAAGCACCAGGUUCCUCAUGCAUGCAGGGAUAAUGACUUUUGCAAUCCACUUUUCAAGUUAUACCAUCUGCACUCUCUUGACAACAGCUUUAUUUUAUUUGCACCGUCAAUGAAGUUAAGGUUAUUUACUCAACACUUUCAAAAGACUAUGCUGUAAAUGUAAGUGUUAAUGUACCUUCAACGUUUCUGCUGUAUAUUCAAAAAUAAUUCCUCAUUUCUUACUUUGCGCGGCUGCAUUUCAACUUUGCAUUAUUCCACUGUUUAAACACAUUUUAAAUCGAAAACUGCCUAUCCGAAGGUAAAGCCUCGUCAUUUCGGAUGAUGACCGAGUGAGGCAUAUGUAAAACACAACCUUGAACUGUAUUGAAAUAAUCGAAUUUUGUCGAUGUCAAAUGAACAAAACAUAUUGUUUUCAAUGUUAUUUAAAAUUAUUUUUAUGCAACACCAUGUAUUAUGAAUAUAUGAAUGAUAUGAUAUAUGUUGAUCAAGGACCAUAACGGCCUAUUUCAACUGUGUAAAUAGGUAUAUGUAUUUGUCGCAAUAAAAGUUCUUCUUCA